CACGUAGGGGGCAAGCGUUGUCCGGCUUUAUUGGGCGUAAAGAGCUCGUAGGCGGUUUCGUAAGUCGGGUGUGAAAACUCUAGGCUCAACCUAGAGACGCCACCCGAUACUGCGAUGACUAGAGUCCGGUAGGGGAGUGUGGAAUUCCUGGUGUAGCGGUGAAAUGCGCAGAUAUCAGGAGGAACACCAACGGCGAAGGCAGCACUCUGGGCCGGAACUGACGCUGAGGAGCGAAAGCGUGGGUAGCGAACAGG
rnacentral:rRNA from 1 species